CCUACGGGAGGCAGCAGUAGGGAAUAUUGGUCAAUGGGCGCAAGCCUGAACCAGCCAUGCCGCGUGCAGGAAGACGGCCUUCAGGGUUGUAAACUGCUUUUAUUAGGGAACAAAGAGGCACUGCGGUGCAAGUUGCGUGUACCUAAUGAAUAAGCACCGGCUAACUCCGUGCCAGCAGCCGCGGUAAU
rnacentral:rRNA from 1 species